rnacentral:rRNA from 1 species
GACGAACGCUGGCGGCGUGCUUAACACAUGCAAGUCGAACGGAAAGGCCCUGCUUGCCGGGUGCUCGAGUGGCGAACGGGUGAGUAACACGUGGGUGAUCUGCCCCUUACUUUGGGAUAAGCCUGGGAAACUGGGUCUAAUACUGGAUAGGACCAUGCUGUAGGUGGUGUGGUGGAAAGAUUUUUUCGGUAAGGGAUGAGCUCGCGGCCUAUCAGCUUGUUGGUGGGGUAAUGGCCUACCAAGGCGUCGACGGGUAGCCGGCCUGAGAGGGUGGACGGCCACAUUGGGACUGAGAUACGGCCCAGACUCCUACGGGAGGCAGCAGUGGGGAAUAUUGCACAAUGGGCGCAAGCCUGAUGCAGCGACGCCGCGUGGGGGAUGACGGCCUUCGGGUUGUAAACUCCUUUCAGCCAUGACGAAGCCUCUUUUGGGGAGACGGUAGUGGUAGAAGAAGCACCGGCUAACUACGUG